rnacentral:rRNA from 1 species
GUGGGGAAUAUUGCACAAUGGGCGCAAGCCUGAUGCAGCGACGCCGCGUGAGGGAUGACGGCCUUCGGGUUGUAAACCUCUUUCAGUAGGGAAGAAGCGAAAGUGACGGUACCUGCAGAAGAAGCGCCGGCUAACUACGUGCCAGCAGCCGCGGUAAUACGUAGGGCGCAAGCGUUAUCCGGAUUUAUUGGGCGUAAAGAGCUCGUAGGCGGUUUGUCGCGUCUAUCGUGAAAGUCCGAGGCUCAAGCUCGGAUCUGCGGUGGGUACGGGCAGAAGAGAGUGAUGUAGGGGAGACUGGAAUUCCCGGUGUAGCGGUGAAAUGCGCAGAUAUCAGGAGGAACACCGAUGGCGAAGGCAGCCAUCUGGCCUAAUACUGACACUGAGGUGCGAAAGCAUGGGGAGCAAACAGGAUUAGAAACCCUAGUAGUCC